AUUGAACGCUGGCGGCAGGCCUAACACAUGCAAGUCGAACGAGCGGCGGACGGGUGAGUAAUGUAUGGGGAACUGCCUGAUGGAGGGGGAUAACUACUGGAAACGGUAGCUAAUACCGCAUACCAUCAGAUGCACCCAUAUGGGAUUAGCUAGUAGGUGGGGUAACGGCUCACCUAGGCGACGAUCCCUAGCUGGUCUGAGAGGAUGAUCAGCCACACUGGGACUGAGACACGGCCCAGACUCCUACGGGAGGCAGCAGUGGGGAAUAUUGCACAAUGGGCGCAAGCCUGAUGAAGCCAUGCCGCGUGUAUGAAGAAGGCCUUCGGGUUGUAAAGUACUUUCAGUCGGGAGGCGUUACCCGCAGAAGAAGCACCGGCUAACUCCGUGCCAGCAGCCGCGGUAAUUC
rnacentral:rRNA from 1 species